rnacentral:rRNA from 1 species
UGGGGAAUCUUGCGCAAUGGGCGAAAGCCUGACGCAGCGACGCCGCGUGAGUGAUGAAGGCCUUCGGGUUGUAAAGCUCUGUGGAGAGGGACGAAUAAGUGUUGGCUAAUAUCCAGCAUGAUGACGGUACCUCUUUAGCAAGCACCGGCUAACUCUGUGCCAGCAGCCGCGGUAAGACAGAGGGUGCAAACGUUGUUCGGAAUUACUGGGCGUAAAGCGCGUGUAGGCUGCUCUGCAAGUCGGGUGUGAAAGCCCGGGGCUCAACCUAGGAAGUGCACUCGAAACUGCAGAGCUUGAGUCCUGGAGAGGAUCGCGGAAUUCUCGGUGUAGAGGUGAAAUUCGUAGAUAUCGAGAGGAACACCGGUGGCGAAGGCGGCGAUCUGGACAGUGACUGACGCUGAGACGCGAAAGCGUGGGGAGCAAACA